rnacentral:rRNA from 1 species
UACGUAGGGUGCGAGCGUUAAUCGGAAUUACUGGGCGUAAAGCGUGCGCAGGCGGUUCGUUGUGUCGGUGGUGAAAUCCCCGGGCUUAACCUCGGAACUGCCUUUGAUACUGACGAUCUGGAGAUCGGGAGAGGUUGGUGGAAUUCCGAGUGUAGAGGUGAAAUUCGUAGAUAUUCGGAGGAACACCAGAAGCGAAGGCGGCCAACUGGGCCGAUACUGACGCUGAGGCGCGAAAGCGUGGGGAGCAAACAGG